rnacentral:rRNA from 1 species
AUUGAACGCUGGCGGCAUGCUUUACACAUGCAAGUCGAACGGCAGCGCGGGCUUCGGCCUGGCGGCGAGUGGCGAACGGGUGAGUAAUACAUCGGAACGUGCCCAGUAGUGGGGAUAGCUCGGCGAAAGCCGGAUUAAUACCGCAUACGACCUGAGGGUGAAAGCGGGGGAUCUUCGGACCUCGCGCUAUUGGAGCGGCCGAUGGCAGAUUUGCUAGUUGGUGGGGUAAAGGCCUACCAAGGCGACGAUCUGUAGCUGGUCUGAGAGGACGACCAGCCACACUGGGACUGAGACACGGCCCAGACUCCUACGGGAGGCAGCAGUGGGGAAUUUUGGACAAUGGGCGAAAGCCUGAUCCAGCAAUGCCGCGUGUGUGAUGAAGGCCUUCGGGUUGUAAAGCACUUUUGGCGGGAACGAAAAGGACUGUGCCAAUACCACGGUUCGAUGACGGUACCCGCAGAAUAAGCACCGGCUAACUACGUG